AGCGUACACGGUGGAUGCCCUGGCAGUCAGAGGCGAUGAAGGGCGUGCUAAUCUGCGAUAAGCGCCGGUAAGGUGAUAUGAACCGUUAUAACCGGCGAUACCCGAAUGGGGAAACCCAGUGUGAUUCGUCACACUAUCAUUAACUGAAUCCAUAGGUUAAUGAGGCGAACCGGGGGAACUGAAACAUCUAAGUACCCCGAGGAAAAGAAAUCAACCGAGAUUCCCCCAGUAGCGGCGAGCGAACGGGGAGGAGCCCAGAGCCUGAAUCAGCAUGUGUGUUAGUGGAAGCGUCUGGAAAGGCGCGCGAUACAGGGUGACAGCCCCGUACACAAAAGCGCAUGUGCUGUGAGCUCGAUGAGUAGGGCGGGACACGUGGUAUCCUGUCUGAAUAUGGGGGGACCAUCCUCCAAGGCUAAAUACUCCUGACUGACCGAUAGUGAACCAGUACCGUGAGGGAAAGGCGAAAAGAACCCCGGCGAGGGGAGUGAAAAAGAACCUGAAACCGUGUACGUACAAGCAGUGGGAGCACCCUUUGGGUGUGACUGCGUACCUUUUGUAUAAUGGGUCAGCGACUUAUAUUCUGUAGCAAGGUUAACCGAAUAGGGGAGCCGGAGGGAAACCGAGUCUUAAUUGGGCGUUAAGUUGCAGGGUAUAGACCCGAAACCCGGUGAUCUAGCCAUGGGCAGGUUGAAGGUUGGGUAACACUAACUGGAGGACCGAACCGACUAAUGUUGAAAAAUUAGCGGAUGACCUGUGGCUGGGGGUGAAAGGCCAAUCAAACCGGGAGAUAGCUGGUUCUCCCCGAAAGCUAUUUAGGUAGCGCCUCGUGAAUUCAUCUCCGGGGGUAGAGCACUGUUUCGGCUAGGGGGCCAUCCCGGCUUACCAACCCGAUGCAAACUGCGAAUACCGGAGAAUGUUAUCACGGGAGACACACGGCGGGUGCUAACGUCCGUCGUGAAGAGGGAAACAACCCAGACCGCCAGCUAAGGUCCCAAAGUCAUGGUUAAGUGGGAAACGAUGUGGGAAGGCCCAGACAGCCAGGAUGUUGGCUUAGAAGCAGCCAUCAUUUAAAGAAAGCGUAAUAGCUCACUGGUCGAGUCGGCCUGCGCGGAAGAUGUAACGGGGCUAAACCAUGCACCGAAGCUGCGGCAGCGACACUGUGUGUUGUUGGGUAGGGGAGCGUUCUGUAAGCCUGUGAAGGUGUGUCGUGAGGCAUGCUGGAGGUAUCAGAAGUGCGAAUGCUGACAUAAGUAACGAUAAAGCGGGUGAAAAGCCCGCUCGCCGGAAGACCAAGGGUUCCUGUCCAACGUUAAUCGGGGCAGGGUGAGUCGACCCCUAAGGCGAGGCCGAAAGGCGUAGUCGAUGGGAAACGGGUUAAUAUUCCCGUACUUGGUGUUACUGCGAAGGGGGGACGGAGAAGGCUAUGUUGGCCGGGCGACGGUUGUCCCGGUUUAAGCGUGUAGGUGUGUGUUCCAGGUAAAUCCGGUUCACUUUAACACUGAGGCGUGACGACGAGGCACUACGGUGCUGAAGCAACAAAUGCCCUGCUUCCAGGAAAAGCCUCUAAGCAUCAGGUAACAUCAAAUCGUACCCCAAACCGACACAGGUGGUCAGGUAGAGAAUACCAAGGCGCUUGAGAGAACUCGGGUGAAGGAACUAGGCAAAAUGGUGCCGUAACUUCGGGAGAAGGCACGCUGACACGUAGGUGAAGUGAUUUACUCAUGGAGCUGAAGUCAGUCGAAGAUACCAGCUGGCUGCAACUGUUUAUUAAAAACACAGCACUGUGCAAACACGAAAGUGGACGUAUACGGUGUGACGCCUGCCCGGUGCCGGAAGGUUAAUUGAUGGGGUCAGCGCAAGCGAAGCUCCUGAUCGAAGCCCCGGUAAACGGCGGCCGUAACUAUAACGGUCCUAAGGUAGCGAAAUUCCUUGUCGGGUAAGUUCCGACCUGCACGAAUGGCGUAAUGAUGGCCAGGCUGUCUCCACCCGAGACUCAGUGAAAUUGAACUCGCUGUGAAGAUGCAGUGUACCCGCGGCAAGACGGAAAGACCCCGUGAACCUUUACUAUAGCUUGACACUGAACAUUGAGCCUUGAUGUGUAGGAUAGGUGGGAGGCUUUGAAGUGUGGACGCCAGUCUGCAUGGAGCCGACCUUGAAAUACCACCCUUUAAUGUUUGAUGUUCUAACGUGGACCCGUUACCCGGGUUGCGGACAGUGUCUGGUGGGUAGUUUGACUGGGGCGGUCUCCUCCUAAAGAGUAACGGAGGAGCACGAAGGUUGGCUAAUCCUGGUCGGACAUCAGGAGGUUAGUGCAAUGGCAUAAGCCAGCUUGACUGCGAGCGUGACGGCGCGAGCAGGUGCGAAAGCAGGUCAUAGUGAUCCGGUGGUUCUGAAUGGAAGGGCCAUCGCUCAACGGAUAAAAGGUACUCCGGGGAUAACAGGCUGAUACCGCCCAAGAGUUCAUAUCGACGGCGGUGUUUGGCACCUCGAUGUCGGCUCAUCACAUCCUGGGGCUGAAGUAGGUCCCAAGGGUAUGGCUGUUCGCCAUUUAAAGUGGUACGCGAGCUGGGUUUAGAACGUCGUGAGACAGUUCGGUCCCUAUCUGCCGUGGGCGCUGGAGAACUGAGGGGGGCUGCUCCUAGUACGAGAGGACCGGAGUGGACGCAUCACUGGUGUUCGGGUUGUCAUGCCAAUGGCACUGCCCGGUAGCUAAAUGCGGAAGAGAUAAGUGCUGAAAGCAUCUAAGCACGAAACUUGCCCCGAGAUGAGUUCU
rnacentral:rRNA from 1 species